rnacentral:rRNA from 1 species
UACGGAGGGUGCAAGCGUUAAUCGGAAUUACUGGGCGUAAAGAGCACGUAGGCGGUUGGGUAAGUUAGAUGUGAAAUCCCCGGGCUUAACCUGGGAGCUGCAUUUAAAACUGUCUGGCUAGAGUUCGGUAGAGGGGGGUGGAAUUUCCGGUGUAGCGGUGAAAUGCGUAGAGAUCGGAAGGAACAUCAGUGGCGAAGGCGGCCCCCUGGACUAGGACUGACGCUGAGGUGCGAAAGCGUGGGGAGCAAACAGG